rnacentral:lncRNA from 1 species
UAUACCAUAAGCCAAAAGAAGGAAUAUAUAAAGGAGACAAAUCCCUACCUCUUACAAAUAAAACUGAAAGGAAACCAUUCCUAUAGUUAGGCAUAAGAAAAAUAAAAAAAAAAGCAAAAAAGGAGGGUUGCUCCUAAUAGAGUUUAACCUUUCAAAAUAGUGAUUGUGUUAAAAGAAUUAGACACAUCAAAGGAAAAAGCCAGCUUGGCUCAAAUAUGAAGAGGCUUUUCUUUGACCGGAUUCUGAAGUUUGGGCUCCCGUUUUCCUCAUUCUUCAUUGUGGCUAUUAUCCUCCUUGGUAAGUUUAUAGUCUCGGUGAAGAACUCUUUUUUUUUUUUUUUUCUACCUUGCUCAGCAUAAUUGACUAAAAGAUCUGUAGUAGAGUUUCCUUCCCUGAAGAUAUGGUUGAAUUGAAAAGAUCCUUCAGCUAGCAAAGAAUGAAUGUCGUUGAUCUCUUUCAUGACGUUCCAAGAAAUAGUAGUGACUUUGUUAAGCAUAUUAAUCACAAUCAUGGAAUCAGAAUCAAUAGUAAUAGUAUUGAAUCCAUGAUCGAUACACCAUCUCAAACCAAUUUCGAUCGCUCUAACCUCAACCAAGUUAUUAAAAGAGUAUCUAAAGUAAGUUGUGAUUGUCAUGAUCAAAUGACCCAAGUGAUUUCUUAAAAUUUCUCCACCACCGGCGCUGUCAGGAUUAUCUUUGGAGGAUCCGUCAACAUUAAGCUUCAAGUCACUAAGAUUUGGCUUACUCCACCUGACAAGGAUAAUAUUAUUAGCUUAGGCUUGAUAUUAUCCACUAUAAGAAAAAAUUUACCAAAGUUAGAGGGAGUUUUUAAAGAGGGAAACUGAGAAGCAAGAAUCAAUUGAUCAAUAAGGUAAGUAGUCAUGCGAAUGAUACUACUACCAAGAUUUGGUGUCCUCAUAUUUGUAUGUGCAUUUAUAUUUUCAUAUUUCCCAUCAAAUCACAGAAGGAAGACACUCAAUAACCAACUUAUGCAAUUUGUUAGGAGAUUUAAUAAGCCAUCUUCUUAUAAAUUAGUGUGGAUGCCAUCGGAAAUAUAUGUGCCAACAACCCCAAUGAUUUAAAAAAAAAAAAAUUCCAAACUUUCUCGGGGUUUUGAACUGUAGGUGAUAAAAUAGUUUUAAAAUGAGGUGUAGGUGACACAAGUAUUGAGUGGAGGUUCCAAUUACGUAAUUAUGGAUUAAGAAAGUUUGGAAAAUUUCAAAAUAAUCUACAAGUUUUUAAAUUACACUUUGAUCCAAAUGUUAGUUAAUAUAACGAAAAACAAAGGAAAAAAGACGCAUUUUUCUCUCUUCUUAUCCGUUGUUGUUUUCUCUCUCUUCGCGAUAUUUGUUGUUCAUUGCUGUUGCUGCUUUAUUCAUCAUCUUCUGAUUCAUUAUCAUCAUCUUAUACUUCAUUAUCAUCUUCAUAUUCUUUUUACUGACCAUUGUUGUUGUUGUUGUUACCGUAACUGCUGCUCUUUGACUAAUUUCUUAGGUCAAAUUUUGUUUUGUACAUCACUUUCAACUUCGGCAUUUACUUGAGAGGAGACUUUGGUAAGUCAAAUUGUGAUUUUUAGUUGAAUUUGUCAUCUGGGUAACUGCUAGUGUGCUGUUUUUUUAACAAUAGCUAGCACGCGAAUAUGAAUGCAACAUAAGAGCAAUCUAUUUAAACAGAUCCACUAUCUGUGGCAUCAGAUAAAUAUUCUAUUGCAACAAAAGACUCAUGUUGCAUUCAUGUUUAUGGUUCUAGGUUUCCGUAAUAUGAAUUGAAUAGAUGGAUAUUCUGUUGCAAUAGAUUAGUAAUAUGUUCAAACAAACAAUUAAUUUGUUGCACCAGAUAAGUAAUCUGUUUCAACAGAUAAAUAAUCUGUUUCGAACAACACAAUACAUCUCUUGUCACAAACCCAACAGAUAACUCAUAUGUUGAUCUUUUGCUAUUGAUACUGGAUUCGAAUUAUUCCUUAAUUAUAGACAUGCCGUUUAUUGAGAAGAAGAAAUAGACAGCAUGGAAAUUAAAUAAGAAUUAAAAUGUCAAAGUGGAUUAAACAUAAAUUUUUUAUUAAAUAAAAAAAAUAAAAAUACAUAGGUAAAAGAAAAAUAUAAUCUUAAUUAUUAUCAUCAUCAUUAUCAUUAUUAUUUGUAUGGCCAAUCGGACACUCUUCAACCAGCAACAACAGUACCCUCCUCAGCCUGCGGAUCUCCCGCAGCAUCCUUACUCUAACGGCGGCCAACUCCCACUAUAGGUCAUGAACCUCCUUCUGCAAUUUUCGCAUGAUGUCUCAUAAAAUAGCGAUAUCCCAUGCUGGAUCAACCAUAUCUAGAACACCCAUAAAUUGACAAAACACUUAAAAACAAGUAAAGAAAAGAAAGAAUUCAAAUGUAAUACAACAUAUAUUUACACAAAAAGCAAGAAAAAAACUUACCAGAGACAGGGAAAAACUAUCAAGUCCUCGAAGAGAAAGUAGUUGAAGGUGUAACAAAAGCAAGAAAUAAAUAUAGUGUAGUAGAAUGAACGAUUGAGUAAGGAGGGACCUAUUUAUAGAGGAUUGAACUUGAAUGUGUUAGGCAAAAUGUCGCAACUGUUCACCUCCAUUUAUUAAUGACAUUUUUCAUUACUGUGAAAAGUUAAUGUCAAAAUAUAGUGCAUUUAUGGCAACAGAUUGUAUAUCCGUUGCGUCAAAUAACACAUAUGUUGCAAUAGAUAUACCAUCUGUUGCAACAAAUCGAUCAUCCAUUUUAGAAGUUUUUUUUUCUAACGGCAGAUUCAUCAGUCGCAACAGAUGGGGAAUUUGAUGCAUCAACAACAUUGUUUGUUUGUUUAAUGUGUUUAGACAAAAAGUCACGGUCACGACUGUUCACCAUUUUUUUAACAAACAAACAAUCAUCAUAUAACUUAAUUAAUCCAAUGUUGUGAUUUUUUAAUUAAAUAAUCUUUCUUUUACGGUUAUAAAUUGUGUAUAUCAUUUAGUUCCUUAUUAUUUAUUUACGAACCAUUUUUCAUAUUAAAUAAUAGGACAAUCAUGACUUUUCACCACCCUCUCACCAAUAACCCCUUUUAUAUUAAUAACCGCCUGUUGCAACAUAUGAUCCAUCUGUCGCAUCAGAUUAAACUCUGUUACCAUAAAUGCUCAAUCCCUACCUCUAAUCGUCAACAUGUUGAGAAUAUGAAAUAAAUAGAAUCAAUGAUAAUUAAAUAUUAAAUAAGAAUUAAAAAUUCAAAGUCGACCAAACCAAACAUAGAUUUUUGAAUCCCUUAGGUAGAUCUAAUAUAAAAAAGGAAAAUACAUACGCUAAAAGAAUAAAACAUAACAUAAUUAUUACUACUACUACUACUAUUAUUAUUAUUAUUAUUUUUAUUAUUGUUAUUACUAUUAUUAUUGUCAACCGAACAAUUUUUAUUCGGCAGCAGCAGGGUCCCCCUCAGCUUUGUUCCGAAGUCGGCCAAAUCCCUCUGGAGUUCAUCAAACUGCCUUUGAAGUUUCCGUAAGAACUCAAUAUGGAUAUUCUUGUAUGAAUCUGGAUCAGCUAUAUUUGUAUUGUAAGUGUAGUAGAAUGAACGAGUGAGAGUGAGUGAUAUGUAAGGAGGCUAGAGAGACCUAUUUAUAAAUGAUUGAAUUGGAAGGGGUUAGUCAAAUAAAAAGCCACGACUGUUCAUAUCCCUUAAUUAAAUAAAAUUGGUGACUUUUCGAAUAUGUAAAUUAAAAAAAAAAAUAAAUCUAAAUACAACAUUUUAUCUUUUAUUGUAUUUCAGAAAGAAAAGAAAAUUGCUUUAAAAUAAAUCUAACAGAUGGGUAAUCUGUUGCAAAAUAUAUUCCAUUUGUUAGAUAACUUACAACAUAUUGACAGUCUGUUGUGACAGAUGGAUAUAUCUGUUUGACUUUUCAACUGAUAUGUCAUAUGUUGCAACAGAUUGAUCAUCUGUCGUAACAGAUGUCUGUAAUUGUUAUAUAAUUUAAACAAAUUCGACGUCUGUUGCAACUUGCUAGUCAUCUGUUUAUUCAAUUUAAGCCAUAGAUAGUCUAGGAAGAAUAAGGUGUGUACAGAUGGAUCCACUAUCAUAUGUGUGAGAGUUAAGUAAGUAUUACUAGUAGGUCACCGGACAACACAUACAAAGUACAAUAUUUUUGUGAAUGUAGUUUUUAACCGAUUAGGCACUGAUCAUUCAAAAAAGAUCCUACAGUGUACAGUUAAAUUUGAUGGUUCAAAUUGAUAAGACUGAGGCCCCCAUGAAGAUGGUGCAGAUUCCCUAUUACGAAUUACUGACAAGCGUUUCUCAUGUUUAUGCGUGUCAAGUUUUGAGAAAGGAUCAAUAUUUGGUGUCAUUGCAGAGAAUCAAUAGCGAUUGGACUUAACAUUAAGUGUGAUUGGACUCUGAGAACACCUUCGAAGCCUCGCACUACAUCAAACAAGAACAAAAAACCAAUAGAAAUUCCCCUAGCCCAAAUUCAUAUGGAAGGGUUGAUCGAGAAGAUGAUUAUACGCCAAAAGAAGUCGAAGAAGAAUGUCUGUGAGGCAAAGAGGAGUUAAUGAAAGACUAUAUUAUUUGAGAGCUAAUUGAAGAAGAGACAUAGGGUAGAAAGUAACUUCUAGAGAAUCUGGCCGAUGGAGUUAUCUUAAAACAUGAGAAAUCUAAAUCAAGUGCAAAUAUAAAAAUAUAUCCGGUAAUGCAAAUUCGUAUGUUGUCUCUAUGAAAGAAAAAUAAUACAGAUGAACACUUUGCUAGGGAGAUACGACUAGGUAGAGUGGUCGGGAUUAUCACCUAGAUAGAAAAAAACAGAAUACCAAGAAAGCAACCUUAUGUGCAUCAAGGGUUGAAAUGAUGUACAGUAAGUCUAGAAAAGUUACGCCAACAAUAACUGCAGUCAAAGUAAGGAAUCUAAGUGAAGAAAGCAAUUUCUGAAUUUUAAAUUGUAUCCCAUGCCUUCUUAUUUAUGGUUCCGAUUAGGUCCACUACUAUUACCCUCACCGAAACCACAAAUGAGAUUGAAAGACAGAUUGAGUGUCUUUACUUCCUUAGAAAUAUGGAUUAAUUGAUUGUGUUUUCUUGCCUUAGCAUGCUUUCAAAAUUUCUUGGAGAAGAUCAGAGGCUUGUUGUAGUAUGCGAAUUCCGAUAAUUUUCAAGCUUGCCUCCAGCUUGCUGAUUUUGUAUUCAAGCUGGUUGUUGCCAUCUUUGAAGUUGGUAUAGAGUUCCUGGUCUCUUGUGAGCUCGAUCAGGAAUACUACCUUCAAAGUUGUGGCAUUGAAGAAGGCCUUCAGAAUACUUUCUUCAAAAGCCUUAAAGGAUACAUGGAGGGUCGCUGUGUUUGUUUUAGGUCAAAAUGUGUUGAUCCACACUCAAGCAAUGGUCCCAACUAUUGAAUGGAUUACUUUUAUUGAGCAUUUCUCAAUGCAGCUUGCUCAACCAUCCCUCAAAGGAUUCGAUAAAUUAAUAUGCAAGGAGUUACAUAACGUUUGAUCUAAACCAACUCUACCAAGCCUAUCAAAUGUUACGUAACUCCAUCUUCAUUAUCCUAUCAAAAAACUUUGUCUGAGUUAAUGCACAAAUCAAACUAGCUCAAUCUCUCAGCCUUUUUACUGAUCGAUAUUCUCUAAUUGUAAUUGAAAAGAUAUCCACCAUGCAAAAGUUUAUACUGUCAGCAAAAAUGCUUGCCACAGUGAAAGGUCUUCUGAAUGCAUCAAUAGUAAUCUCUUAAUACCAAGUGAAUUUCUUGUCAUCAACAGAAAUUCUUGCCGUAGAGAAAGUUUUGGAAAGGCAUGACUAGGAAUAUCUCAAAAUCAUUUGAUAUUGAGAUAUUACUAUUGAUGUCUUCAGAAGACCUUUUAUUGUGGUAAUCAUUUCUGCAAUAGUGUAGACUUUUGCAUGACGGAUAUCUUGUUAUCUAUAUUAGAGAAGAGCGAUCAGCAGAAAGGUUAAGAGACUGAGCUCGUUUGAUUUAUGAAUUAAAUUAGGCAAAGUUUUUUGAUAGGAUAAUGGGCCCGAAGUUAUGUAACAUUUGAUAGGCUUGGUAGAGCCGGUUUAGAUCAAAUGUUACGUAACUCUUUGCUUAUUAAUUUAUCAAAUAUCUUGAAGGUUGGUUGAGCAAGAUACAUUGAGCAACGCUAGAUAAAAGUGAGUUGUUCAAUAUUUGGGACCAUAUCUUGAGUGUGCAUCAGCACAUUAUGACCUAAAGACAUACACAACGACCCUACAUGUAUCCUUUAAGGCUUCUGAAGAAAGUGUUCUGAGGGACUUCUAGAAUGCCACAACUUUAAAGAUGGUGUUCAUGAUCGAGAUCACAAAAAAUCAGGAACACUAUACCAAAUUGAAAGACUGUAACGACCAACUUGAAUACAGAAUCAACAAGCUGGAGGCAAACUUGAAAAUUAUCAGAAUUCACAUACUAGAGCAAGCCUCUGAUCUUCUCCAAGAUAUGUUGAAAGCAUGCUAAGGCUAUAAAACACAAUCAAUUAUAAUCAUAUUGCUAAGGAAGUAAUGAUACUCAAUUUUCCUUUCAAUCUUGUUUGUGGUUUCGAUCAGGUCAACAAUAGUGAACCUAAUUGGAACCACAAAUAAGAAUGCAUGGGAUGCAAUUUAAAAUUCAAAAAUUGCUGUCUUCGCUUAGAUUCCUUACUUUAACUGCAGUUGUUGUUGGUGGAAGUUUUCUAAACUUACUGAACAAAAUUUCAACCCUCAAUUUCCUUAAAGCAGAUUUCUUGGUCUUCUGCUAUUUUAUAUCUGGGUGAUAAUCCCGACAAUGCUACCUAGUCGUAGCUCCCUAGCAAAGUGACAAUCUACACUAUUUUUCUCUUACAGAAACAACAGACGAUUUUUUCAUUAUCGGAUGCACUUUUAUAUUUGUACUUGAUACAAAUUUCUCAUGUUUUAAGAUAAUUUCAUCGGCCAUGUUCGCUAGAAGUUACUUUCUACCCUAUGUAUUCUCUUCAAUUAUCUCUUAGUUGAUUAAGUCUUUCAGCAACCACCCAUUUUCCCUCGAAGGCAUUCUUAUACUGUACCUUCUGGCAUAUAAUCAUCACCCCGAAUAAUCCAACCAUAUAAAUUUAGGCAAAGCCAAUAAAUAUAUUGGUUUUCUAUUCUUAUUAGAUGCAUUUCUAGGCUUCGAAGGCCUUUUCAAAGUCCAAUGCACCCUAAAAGUUAGACCGAUCACUAUUGAAUCUCUUUACAAUGACAGCAAAACUAGAUCCCUUCAUAAUACUGGGAAAAUAAACAUGAGCAACAACUGACAUUAAAUCUUAAUAGAGUAUUAGAACCAUAUUCAUGGUCCCUCAGCCUUAUCAGUUUGGACCUACUAAACUUAACUGUAAAAUUGUAAAAAUAGCAUUCACAAAAUCAGUGUACUCUAUGUGUGUUUCAACAAUAACAUUAUCAGUAAUACAUACCUCCCACUGUAAGACCCUACAAGUUUUCUCGUUGGCUAAGCCUUUAGAGCAUGUUAAAGGAAGCUUUAUACUUAGAAAUUUGGCUAAGUGAUGAGACUAAGUAAUUUUCUAGACUUUAGAACUUUGAAGAUUUUAUUUCUGACCUUUCUGAACUUCGAUAGUUGAUAUUUUAGCUAAUUCAUGAUCCGGGAGGUCAAUGGGUGUUCCCGGACAAGUUUUAAAUUUUUUGGACCAUGUUUAUACCUCGUUUGGUGUCCUAAAAUAGUGGACCAAUGCGAUCUUGAUGCACCGUAUUGCCCAUCGUGUUGGUCAAAUUUUGUGCAGAAAAAGUACUAAGGCUCGAUGCGGCGUGAUGCGUCGAGUAUAGCGUCGAUGCCAAUGAUGCGCCGCAUUGAAUACAACGUCAAUGCCCAGUUUUUCAUCUUUUAAAAUUCGCAUCCAAAGGGGCAAUGAAGUCAUUUUUUCCUAUCUCCUUUCAGUCAAAACACGAAAUUAUUCCACCAAAACACCAAAAUAUAGUUAUUCCACUCAAUUAUCUCAAGAAACACAUCCUAGGGUUUUUACCCAAAGUUCAAGUAUCUCAAAAUUCCUCCGUGAACUUUUAAAAUUUAUUCAAGAAUUGGGUUUCCCAUAGCAAGAGCUUCAAGAAUCACCCAUCAAAAUUAAGGAAAGUAUCCCCAAGUCAAGAGUUUAAUCAAGAGUCCUAAUUUAAGGUAUGUGGGGUUUCAAGAAGGACAAUCCUUUUGUCCGUGUGCCCAAAACUUGAUUUUUAUUUCAAAGAUACAUGAUUUUAUGAGUUUUCCUAUGAAUUUGAAGUUUGGGUUUAUACUCCAUGUUACUGUUCAUGAUAUUAUGAGAUUUUCAAUGUUUUAGAAGUUGAAUUACAUGAGUAUGAUUAUAUUUUUAUGCCAUGAAUUUUGAGAUGUCUUACUAUGAGAUUUAUGCAUGGGUCAUUAAGCCCUAUUUAGAGAUUACCAUUCAAAGAAUUGUUGUACUAUAAGCACCCCAUGAAUAGAAUAUUUUCAGAUUAUUGAGAAAGAUUUGAUCUUUUGGUCAUAAUAGAGUUGAAAUCCACUUUACAAAAUGAGAUUAUAGACUUCAUAAUUGAUUUCCUUAUGAAAUAUGAGAUUACUUUUAAAGUGGAUUUUCUUGAGAUUUUGAGCAUAAGAUUGGGAGUAGUAUUUAGCACUGAGUUGGGCAUGUUACUAGGGUUUCAUACCCUAGAACUACGUGUCAUCGUAGGUUGAGAUAUUUAUUUUUACUAUAUGUGGGUAACUGAGAUAGUGAUCAUUGAGUUAGAUUGUUAUAUUCCGAUGGAAAGGGUAGAAAAGCCCUAACCUGACAGGGGCUAGUCGUGGGACAUCAUGAAUACUCACAUGGUGUACAUAUCGGGUAUAAGAACCUCCCUAAUAGAAGUUCCCUGCUCUUAAAAUAGUUCUUUGAUAUAAAAUAUUUACUAUGCAGAAAAAAAUUCCAGACUUUAUCUAGAUUACAUGAUUUGAGAACAAGAACUAUAUACAGUCUUUAGAACUAAGUGUAAUGGCUCAUGGAAUUCAGAUUAUAUGUUGUACUAUUCAUAACUUUGUAUCUUCAGAUUUUGGAUUAUGUUAGCUAUGUGAGCCAUUUAUAUUUAGCGUGUAUGAUUUUAUAUCCUCUGAUAAUAUUGUUUUACAAAUUGCAUACACCCCCAUAUACUCAGUACAUCUUUAAAGUACUGAUCCACAUAUACGUCUAUGUGCUACAUUAUCUCAUAAUGUAGGUUCAGGUGCUCAGCCUCAGAAGUGACAACAAUCUCCGAGUGCCUUUGUCUAUAUUCCGCAGUUGGUGAGUCCUCAUGGUUUGAGGACCUACUUUUUAGAUUUUCAGUUAUGAUAUCAGUAUUUGCAUCUUUAUAUUUUAGCGCAGUCUGGGUCAGUUGGGGGAUUUGUCCUAAUGGCUUUCUAGUUUUCGAGUAGUUAAGGCUUGUCAGACUAUUAGUUGUUUGUCAGACUUUUCAGUAUUUGUGUUUCAGAUAGUAUAUUUUCAGUCGUUUCAGUUAUGACUUGAUGAGAUUCAGUAUUAUUAUCUAGUUUGAUUUCUCAAAGUAAGUGUUGGACAUAAUAGCAGGCUCAAAGGGUUAGCUUGGGCUACUUGUAGCCUUAAGCACCGUGUGACGUCUCGGGAUGAGAUUUCGAGGCGUUACAAACUUAAUAUCAGAUCCUAAGGUUUAAGUAUUCCUAGGGAGUUUGACAAGCCACGUUAUGUAGAGUCUUGAUCAUCGGUGUGUAGCAGUCACAUCUAUGAGCAAGAAGCUACGAAACAUUUUAGUAAAAAGUCAUCUCUUUCUUUUAAAAUCUAUCGUGCCUACAAUUGUCUCUAUCUGCUAUUAAUUCGUGCUCUUUUAUGACAAAAAUGCCUCCUCGUUGAGUAUGCAGAAACAAUAAUAAGACACCUCAACCGGUUGAUCCCCAGAAUAAAAAUGUGUCUCAUGCUGAGUUUCGGGCAGCUUUUCAGGUGCUAGCCCAGACAGUCACCACCAAUGUUUAGGCUAAUAACUAGGCCGCAGUUCCAUACUAACAAGGAUGUAAUUUAACUGUAACCAGGAUUCGAUAUUUUAUGAGGAUGAAUCCGCCAAAGUUCUAUGGUCGAAGGCAGGUGAAGACCCACAAUUAUAUCUUGAGGAGGUGAGAAAUAUCACCCAAGUUAUGCAUGUAUCUGAGAAGAAGAGCAUAGAACUGGACUCUUAUAGGCUGAAAGAUAUUGCUUAUGAAUGGGUUAUGGUGUGGAGAAAGAAUAGAGGGGUAGGCUUCUGCUCCUAUGACUUGGCAGGUGUUCUAGGAUGUAUUCUUGGACAAGUUCUUCCCACUUGAGAUGAGGGAAGAAAAGAUAAAGGAUUUUAUGAACCUAAGACAAGGCUCUAUGACUAUAAAGGAGUAUUUCCUUAAUUUCAACCAGUUAGCUAAGUAUGCUCCUGACUUGGUAGCUGACACCCGAUCUAGCAUGAGUAAGUUUGCGACUGGAGUAUCUGGAUUAGUGUUGAAAGAGUGUAGAACUAAUAUGGUUAAUAGGGAUAUAGAUCUUGUUGGGAUGAUAAUGCAUGCCCAAUAAAUUAAGGUAGAUAAGGUAAGGAAGAGAGAUAGAGUCAGAGAAAACAAGAGAGCUAGAUCAGAGCAGCAUGAGUAUGGUCAGACUAGAUCCCAAGGAGGGAACUGCACACAGUUUUAGAGACAUUUAUCUAUGCCAACGCCUUCAUUAGCUAGUGCUCCCACACCUAGUACCAGACAAGAGUAGUGGGGUAAGUCUUCUAUGUCCAGAUCUCAGAACAGUGUGAGUGGGAAGCCUAAUCGAUCCCCGUGUGCCAAGUGUGCUAAGGAUCAUGGAAGUAGAUAUUUGUGGGGAUAGAAAGGUUAUUAUGGAUUGGGCAGGAGGGUCAUGAAAUUAGAGAUUGCCCGCAUUCUAGGAAGGGGAAUAGAUAUGUCCGGCCUCAGACUCAAGCUACCAGUGCACCAGCUCCUUUAGCCCGUCCAGCCCCUUCUUAGGACAUUUCAUCCAGUACCGCUGGCGGAAAGUACUAGAACUAAUUCUAUACUUUACCAUUCUUCCAGGAUCAGGAGGAUUCUCUAGAUAUUAUAACUAGUAUGUUUCGUGUCUUUCACUUUGAUGUUUAUAUAUUGUUGGACCCUGGGUCAAGUUUUUCUUAUGUGACACCGUUGGUUGCUGUGAAUUUUAAAAUAAGUCCCAAAAAUAUUCCGAAGCCUUUUUUAUUUUCUACUCCAGUAGGUGAGUUAGUUGUUGAUAAGAAAGUGUAUAAAAAUAUCUUGUCAUUGUUCUUCAUAGAGUAAUAUUUGUUGAUUUGAUAGAGUUGGAGAUGGUUGAUUUUGAUAUUAUUCUGGGUAUGGAUUGGCUUCACUCUUGUUAUGCAUCUAUAGACUAUUGCACCCAUGUGGUUAAGUUUCAAUUUCCUGAUGAGCCAGUCUUUGAGUGAUCAGGAAAUUUUAUAUCUCCCAAGAGUCAUUUUAUAUCCUAUCUCAAAGCCAGAAAGCUAAUAUCUAAAGGUUACAUCUACCACCUAGUUUGAUUUAAAGACACUAAGUUAGAGACUCCGACUCUUCAGUCAGUCAAUACAAUUAAUGAGUUUCCUGAUGUUUUUCUGGAAGAUCUCCCAGGGGUACCUUCCGAUAGAGAGAUAGAGUUCAGGAUUGACCUUCUUCCUGACACACAACCUAUUUCUAUUACUCUAUACCACAUGGCACUCGCAGAACUUAAGGAGUUGAAAGAGCAACUCAACGAUUUUCUAGAUAAAAUUUACAUAAGGCCCAGUAUUUCUUCUUGGGGAGCCCCUGUCCUGUUCAUGUAGAAGAAAGAUGGUUCUUUGCGUAUGUGAAUUGUCUAUCGUCCACUUAAUAAGGUAACAUCAAAAAAUAAAUACCCUCUUCUUAGAAUUGAUGACCUGUUUGAUAAGUUUCAAUGUGCAAGUUAUUUCUCAAAGAGAGAUCUUAGAUCCGGCUAUCAUCAACUUAAAGUAAGGGAGUGUGAUAUCCCAAAGACAGCCUUCCGAACCCGUUAUAGUCAUUUUGAGUUUCUAGUCAUGUCUUUCGGGCUAACCAAUGCUCCAGUAGCCUUCAUGGACCUUAUGAAUUGAGUGUUUAAAUAGUACCUUAAUAUGUUUGUCAUAGUGUUUAUAGAUGAUAUUCUUGUUUACUCCCUAGUGAGGAUGACCAUGCAGAUCAUCUUAGAAUUAUCAUAUAGACUCUUAAAGAUCAUCAAUUGUUUUCCAAAUUCAGCAAGUGGGAAUUUUGGCUAAGUUCAGUUGCAUUUCUAGGUCAUAUUAAUUCAGUCGAAGGUAUUAGAAUUGAUCCCUAAAAGACAGAAGCUGUAAGAAAUUGGCCUAGACCUAUCUCUCCAUCUAACAUUAGAAGUUUCUUGGGUAUAGCUGGCUAUUACAGCUGAUUUGUUGAAGGUUUCUCAUCUAUAGCGUCUCCCAUGACCCGAUUUACCCUAAAGAAAGUUUAGUUCCUGCGGUUAGAUUUCUACGAGAAGAGUUUUCAGGAGUUGAAGACUCGACUCACUUUGGCUCUAGUGUUAACUUUGCCUGAUGGUAUUGAUGGUUUUAUGGUGUAUUGUGAUGCCUCUAGAGUUGGUUUGGGUUAUGUGUUGAUGCAGAGAGGUAAGGUUAUAGCCUUUACCUCUAGACAGUUGAAGCCUCAUGAAAAUAAUUUCCCAACCCAUGAUCUUGAAUUAGCUGUUUGGUUUUUUCUUUGAAAAUCUGGAGACACUACCUGUAUGGUGUUCUUGUUGAUGUUUUUACUAGUCACAAAAGCCUACAGUAUAUGUUUACUUAGAAAGAGUUGAAUAUUUGACAGAGGAGGUGGUUAUAGUUGUUAAAAACUUAUGAUAUAAGUGUAUUGUAUCAUUCGAGCAAGGCCAAUGUAGUGGAAGAUGCCCUUAGUAGGAUAUCUAUGGAUAGUGUUGCUCAUGUUGAGAAAUAUAAGAAAGAGUUAGCUCCUGAAGUUCAUCGUUUGUCUAGACUGGGUGUUAGGUUGCUUGAUUCGGCUGUGGGGAAUGUUUGGGUUCAGAGUACUUCCAAAUCCUCUUUAGUUUAGGAAGUAAAGGAGAAGCAGGACAUGGAUCCUAGUUUGGUCAAACUGAAGAAGUCAGUUAAGGACCAAAAGGUAGAGGUUUUCUCCCAAGGAGGAGAUGGUGUGCUAAGAUUGCAGGAUAGAUUGUGUGUUCCUAGUAUUGAUGAGUUGAGGCAGAGAAUUAUGCCUAAAGUGUAUGGAGCACGAUAUUCUAUUCAUCCUGGUGCUACCAAGAUGUACCGCGACUUGAGGGAAAUCUAUUGGUGGAGUGGUAUGAAAAAGGAUCUAGCAGGGUUUGUGGCAAAGCAUACAACUUACAAACAGGUUAAGGUAGAGCACCAAAGACCUGGCGGUGUUAUACAAGAGUUUGGUAUUCCCGUUUGGAAGUGGGAAGAAGUGAAUAUGGAUUUUAUGAUUGGUUUACCUUUUUUGCGUCGUCAUUAUGAUUUCUAUUUGGGUUGUUGUAGAUAGGUUGACUAAGUCAGCGCAUUUCCUACCUGCGCAUAAAUCUUAUACAACUGAGGAUUACACUAAGUUGUAUAUUCGGGAGUUAUUCAGGUUUCAUGGAGUUCCCUUGUCUAUCAUUUUGGAUAGGGGUACUCGGUUUACUUCCCAAUUUUGGAGGGCUUUUCAGAAGGGUCUUAGUACCCAAGUUUAUUUGAGUUCCGCUUUUCAUCCGCAGAUAGAUGGCCAGGCUGAAAAGACCAUCCAGACUCUAAAAGAUAUGUUAAGAGCAUGUGCUCUUGAUUUUAAGGGUAGUUGGGAUGAGAACUUACCAUUGAUCGAGUUCGCAUAUAAUAAUAGUUAUCACUCUUGUAUUCGAAUGGCUCCAUUUGAGGCUUUUUAUGAGUGGAGAUGUAGAUUACCCAUAGGUUGUUUGAAGUGGGUAAAGCUACUUUGAUUGGUCCUGAUGCAGUGUUUGAGGUUAUGGAGAAGGUAAAGUUGAUUAGAGAGAGGUUGAAGACAGCCCUGAGUCAUCAAAAGUCAUAUGCUAAUGUGAGAAGAGGGGAUAUUGAAUUCAAAGUUGAUGAUUUGGUAUAUCUGAAUAUUUCACCCAUAAAAGGGGUGAAAAGGUUUGGUAGAAAGAGGAAGCUUAGUCCCUGCUAUGUUGGACCUUAUAGAGUUUUGAGUCGUGUUGGGAAAGUAACCUAUGAGAUAGAGUUUUCCCCAGACUUGUCAGCUGUCCAUCUUGUCUACGUCUCCAUUCUUAAGAAGCAUAUUGGUGAUUCUAUUAUAGUAGACCCUUCAGAGAGCUCAGAUAUUCAGAACAGUCUUUCGUAUGAUAAGAUUCCGAUUGAAAUAUUAGACCACCAGAUUUGUAGACUAAGGAACAAAGAAGUUUCUUUGGUCAAAGUUUUAUGGAGAAACCAGUCAGUUGAGGGUGCUACUUGGGAAGCAUAAGCAGACAUGCGAGCCAAGUACCCUCACCUCUUCUCCGCGAAUUCAGAUCUAGCCGAAGGUAUUACUUUUCCUUAAUUCAGCCCUUCCUAAUCAAAGAUUCAGCUAUGUAUCUAUUCUUAUUAAGUUCAUGAGUUCUCUAAAGUACUCAAGAGUUUAGAAUGAUAUAGAUUCAAGUUAGCAAUUUGUUUCAGCUGUAUAUCCUCAGUUUCUCUGUAUUCUUAUCCUAGUAAACAACAUUCGAGGCCGAAUGUUUCCAAGGGGGAGAUAUUGUAAGACCCCGCAAGUUUUCUCGUUGUCUAAGCCUUUAGAGCAUGUUAAAGGAAGCUUUAUACUUAGAAAUUUGGCUAAGUGAUGAGAUAAGUCAUUUUCAAGACUUUAGAACUUUAAAGAUUUUAUUUCUGACCUUUUCGACCUUUGUUAGUUGAUAUUUUAGUUAAUUCAUGAUUCGGGAGGUCAAUGGGUGUUUCAGACAAGUUUUAAAUUCUUUGAAUCGCGUUAAGACCUUAUUUGGUGUCCCAAAAUAGUGGACCAAUGGAUUUUUGGUGCGCCGCGUCGCCCAUCAUGUUGGUCAAAUUUUGUACAGGAAACGUACUAAGGCUCGAUGCGAUACUGGCGUGAUGCUUCGAGUAUAGCGUCGAUGCCAAUGACGUGCCACGUUGCCUGCAGUGUCGAUGCCUAGUUUUCAGCUUUUAAAAUCCUUGUCCAAGGGGGCAAUUAAGUCAUUUUUCACUACCUCCUUUCAGUCAUAACACGAAAUUAUUCCCCCAAAACACCAAAAUAUAGUCAUUCCACUCAAUUAUCUCAAGAAACACAUCCUAGGGUUUCUACCCAAAGUUCAAAUAUCUCAAGAUUCCUCCGUGAACUUUUAAAAUUUAUUCAAGAAUUGGGUUUCCCAUAGCAAGAGCUUCAAGAAUCACCUAUCAAAAGUAAGGAAAGCAUCCCAAAGUCAAGAGUUUAAUCAAGAGUCCUAAUUUAAGGUAUGUGGGGUUUCAACAAGGACAAUCCUUUUGUCCUUGUGCCCAAAACUUGAUUUUUAUUUCAAAGAUACAUGAUUUUAUGAGUUUUCCUAUUAAUUUGAAGUUUGGGUUUAUACUCCAUAUUGCUAUUCAUGAGAUUAUGAGAUUUUCAAUGUUUUAGAAGUUGAAUUACAUGAGUAUGAUUAUAUUUUUAUGCAUAUUGCUGAAAUUUGCAGAUUUUAUGAUGAAUUGUGAAUACUUAUAUUAUCAAGCAUGAAUUUUGAGAUAAUUUACUAGGAGAUUUAUGCAUGGGUCAUUAAACCCUAUUUAGAGAUUGUCAUUCAAAGAAUUGUUGUUCUAUAAGCAUCCCAUAAUAGAAUAUUUUCAGAUUAUUGAGAAAGAUUUGACCUUUUGGUCACAAUAGAGUUGAAAUCCAUUUUACGAAAUGAGAUUACAUACUUUAUAAUUGAUUUCCUUAUGAAAUAUGAAAUUAAUUUUAAAGUGGAUUUUAUUGAGACUUUGAACAUAAGAUUAGGAGUAGUAUUUAGCACCGAGUUGGGCAUGCUACUACGGUUUCAUACCCCAGAACUACGUUCCACCGUAGGUUGAGAUAUUUAUUUCCACUAUAUAUGGGUUACUGAUAUAGUGAUCACUGAGAUAGAUUAUUCUAUUUAGAUGGCAAGUGUAGAACAGCCCUAAUGUUACGGGGGCUAUUCAUGGGAUAUUAUGGUUGCUCACAUGAUGUACAUGUCGAUUAGAAGAACCUCCCAAAUAGAAGUUCCCCACUCUUAAAAUAGUUCUUUGAGAUAAAUAUUUACUAUGCAGAAUAAAAUUCCAGACUUUAUCUAGAUUACAUGAUUUAAUAACAAGAACUAUAUACAGUCUUUAGAACUAAGUGUAAUGGCUCAUGGAAUUCAAAUUAUAUGUUUUACUAUUCAUCACUUUGUAUCUUAAGAUUUCGAUUUAUGUAAGCUAUAUGAGCCAUUUACAGUUAGCAUGUAUGAUUUUAUAGCCUAUGAUAAUAUUGUUUUACGUAUUGCAUGUACCCCAUAUACUCACUAUAUCCUCAAAGUAUUGAUCCACAUAUACGUCUGUGUGCUACAUUGUCUCAUAAUGUAGGUUCAGGUGUUCAGCCUCAGCAGUGAAAGCGAUCUCCGAGUGCCUUUGUCUAUAUUCCGCAGUUGGUGAGUCCUCAUGGUUUGAGGACCUACUUUUUAGAUUUUCAGUUAUGAUAUCAGCAUUUGAGUCUUUACAUUUUAGCUCAUUCUGGGUCAGUUGGGGG